CCUACGGGAGGCUGCAGUGAGGAAUAUUGGUCAAUGGCCGUAAGGCUGAACCAGCCAAGUAGCGUGAGGGAAGACUGCCCUAUGGGUUGUAAACCUCUUUUAUAAAGGAAUAAAACGAGGCACGUGUGCCUUUUUGCAUGUACUUUAUGAAUAAGGAUCGGCUAACUCCGUGCCAGCAGCCGCGGUAAUACGGAGGAUCCGAGCGUUAUCCGGUUUUAUUGGGUUUAAAGGGAGCGUAGAUGGGUUGUUAAGUCAGUUGUGAAAGUUUGCGGCUCAACCGUAAAAUUGCAAUUGAUACUGGCAGUCUUGAGUACAGUUGAGGUAGGCGGAAUUCGUGGUGUAGCGGUGAAAUGCUUAGAUAUCACGAAGAACCCCGAUGGCGAAGGCAGCUUACUAAACUGUGACUGACAUUGAUGCUCGAAAGUGUGGGUAUCAAACAGGAUUAGAUACCCUUGUAGUC
rnacentral:rRNA from 1 species